UACAGCCUAUGGAAGAACUAGAAUCUCACUC
rnacentral:piRNA from 1 species